AAUACGGGGGGCUGCAGUGGGGAAUAUUGGACAAUGGGCGAAAGCCUGAUCCAGCCAUGCCGCGUGUGUGAAGAAGGCCUUCGGGUUGUAAAGCACUUUCAGUGGGGAAGAAAGCCUUGGGGCUAAUACCCUCGAGGAAGGACAUCACCCACAGAAGAAGCACCGGCUAACUCCGUCCAGCAGCCGCGGUAAUACGGAGGGUGCGAGCGUUAAUCGGAAUUACUGGGCGUAAAGCGCGCGUAGGCGGUCUGAUAAGCCGGUUGUGAAAGCCCCGGGCUCAACCUGGGAACGGCAUCCGGAACUGUCAGGCUAGAGUGCAGGAGAGGAGGGUAGAAUUCCCGGUGUAGCGGUGAAAUGCGUAGAGAUCGGGAGGAAUACCAGUGGCGAAGGCGGCCUUCUGGACUGACACUGACGCUGAGGUGCGAAAGCGUGGGUAGCAAACAGGAUUAGAUACCCGGGUAGUC
rnacentral:rRNA from 1 species